UCAGAGUUAACUCACAUUUGUUAGGGGGGUUAUUCCUUCACCCACUUACUUCCCUGGUCCUCCUCGCAUGAACAGAGCAACAAUACCUGGAGUCCAAAAGUGCAAACAAUUCAAUGUUUAUUGGGGUAAACUUCCAGCAAGCAUGAUUCCAGUUUCCUUCCUUAGUGUCCUCCUUCCCAGCUCUGACACCACAGAGCCUUACCUGUGUCCCUGUUCCCA